GCUCCCACCUUGAUGGUAAUGGACUGAACCUUUGAAUCUGUCCUCCCAGCUGGCAUGCCUCGACUGCUACCCUGAACUCUCCAGCCCAGGAGGCUGAGCUGUUCUUCCCUAUAUAAUCCAACCAUUUUGGUUGCCCACAUUUUUUGUACCUUUGGGACACCUGGCUGCUGCACCUGGAUUCCCUCUCUCUCCUUCCCCCCCGCCCCCCACAUAGCACAGCUCAGACUGGUCUUGGCCAUUUUGGACUUUCCCAGAGGUCCUUGUCUCUAAUUACCUUCUCCCUCAUCUUCAAUGAAUCUCCUCCUCUACGGUUAACAAGAGCAGCCAUGUAUCCUCUUCCUCUUCUUUCCUCCCUCCCUUCCUCCCUCUCUCCCUUCCUCCUUCCCUCCCUUCCUUCCUUUUCCUUUUAAUUCACUUUCCAGCCCUGCUACUGGUAAAUUUGGAAUCAACUGUCAAGUAAUAUAACACACCACUGAAUUCAGUGUUGAGAAUACUGAAUUAUUUAAUGUGAAUGGACAGAGUAUUAUGCUGCUAUUUCCAGUGAAAUAAAUUAUUUUUCAAAAAAUAAUGU